CUGGUCCUACGGGACGCAGCAGUGAGGAAUAUUGGUCAAUGGGCGGUAGCCUGAACCAGCCACGUAGCGUGAAGGAUGAAGGUUCUAUGGAUUGUAAACUUCUUUUAUAAAGGAAUAAAGUGAGGCACGUGUGCCUUUUUGUAUGUACUUUAUGAAUAAGGAUCGGCUAACUCCGUGCCAGCAGCCGCGGUAAUACGGAGGAUCCGAGCGUUAUCCGGAUUUAUUGGGUUUAAAGGGAGAGUAGAUGGGUUGUUAAGUCAGUUGUGAAAGUUUGCGGCUCAACCGUAAAAUUGCAAUUGAUAAUG
rnacentral:rRNA from 1 species